UGGGGAAUCUUGCGCAAUGGACGAAAGUCUGACGCAGCCAUGCCGCGUGGGCGACGAAGGCCUUCGGGUUGUAAAGCCCUGUUCGAUGGGACGGAGGGCCUGUGGUCGAAUAGGCCAUGGGAAUGACGGUACCGUCGAAGGAAGCACCGGCUAACUCCGUGCCAGCAGCCGCGGCAAUACGGAGGGUGCAAGCGUUGUUCGGAAUCACUGGGCGUAAAGCGCGUGUAGGCUGUGACGCAAGUCGGGUGUGAAAUCCCUUGGCUCAACCGAGGAAAUGCGCCCGAAACUGCGUGACUAGAGUACGGGAGAGGGACGUGGAAUUCCUGGUGUAGAGGUGAAAUUCGUAGAUAUCAGGAGGAACACCCGUGGCGAAGGCGACGUCCUGGACCGAUACUGACGCUGAGACGCGAAAGCGUGGGGAGCAAACA
rnacentral:rRNA from 1 species